UUGCCCCCAGUCUCUUAUUUAUAAGGAACUUAUUUAUAAGAGACUAUUCAAAAAGUCUCCAUGGAAUUUUUAUCCUCGGGACUUUUAUCCUUGGGAUUUAUAUCCUCGGGAUUUAUAUCCGUAGAAUGUUCAUCCUUUCGGGAGACCAAAACCUUCUCGAAGGACGUUUGUCCGGCCUUAUAACCCCUCCGACCUUAUGUCGCCAAAAUAUUCGUCCCGACCCCUGUGGGAGGCUUUGAUCAGACUUUAUAUCUGCUGAAGGUAAACAGCCGACGAUAAGAUGAAACCGGUGUGAUAUAGUCCGAGGCAAACUGCAAUUAUCCGAAGAGGAUUGUUGUUGCCCGAAGUGAGUUGUUGCCCAAAGUGUCACGGAUAACAAUUUUUGACUGUGGAAGUGUGCUAAAAUCUGAACUCUGAUUCUAACUUUAGUGUCGAAGUUGGAUUUGAUGUCCU
rnacentral:lncRNA from 1 species